UGAAAAAUCUUAGUGCCGGGAGGCGCCAAAGUCUUAAGUUAAACGACGCCGUUUCUUUCAUGUCUAUAAAACAUAAAAUGUACCAACGUCUUCUUUAGCGAGUCAUUCGCAAAUGGAAAAACCCUAAAAUCAUAUUUUUCUUUUCCAAUAUCAAUUCUCCAUAGUUUUUUGUUUAAUAUUUUAUCAAUUAAGAAAAAGUAUUAUGAAAAUGGCCAAGAAAGUUGCUUCUACAAGAGAGUUGUUGGAACGAUGGAGAGGCAUCGAAGAAGAGGAAGAAGAAACUGACGAUACUGAUCCUUCUAUGCGACGUCGUCUUCACAAGCGCAAGGAAGAAUGGUUUGCUGAUGCAUUCAGUGUGUUGAUAAGUUUACCAAAGGAAAAUCACAUUUGGUGUGGCUCAUGGGAUAUAAUGGGUCCUCUCUUGGAAACUUUCUACAAUUAUUUUAAAGAUGACCGCAACGAUUCUCCUCUACGGCUUCUAUGGAAGAGGAUCUCUGAGGAAAUGUGCCAUUGCAUUCAAUGUGUUUCUCAGCACCAUCAAGCCCAGGAGAUGUACAGCACGGAGUAUGAGUUGUGUACCAUAGGUCCCCUUCUUGAUGUGUUGCAGAGCCUUGAUGAAGAAAGGGUGACUCAACAUUUGAGAGAGAUCAAUAAAAGAUUGGUGCGGCAGGAGUAUGAUCCUGUAUGUGACAAUGCCGAGGUUGUCAAUCUCAUGUAUGAGGUUUUGACGUUUCCCGCCCUAUUAGAUGAUCAGGCCUUGUUUAUAGAUUUUGAAAAAUUCAUUGAAGCAGUUGAUGAUAUGCAUGAAUUGGCUUUGGCUGGGCAACAGUUUCCGGGUGUUUAUGCAUUGCUUUUUUUCAAUAGAAGAGUGCGGACUGUUGGUCAUCGUUUAGCUAAAUGUAUGGGAAAAAUGAGGAGAGCAAUGGAUUUGGAACCUUUGCAACCUUUGCUUAAAAAGUUCAUUGGCUUUUUGGAGAAUGAAGUAUUGCCUUCACCUUUAGAGACUUCGAGGCCAAGAGCGCAGCUGGACCGCUUACCCAUAUGGCUUGGGAUUACAUCCUUGCUUGAGUUCUUGGAACCUCCAGCUUUUGAAGAGGGAAUACUGGAGCGCUAUCCCAUCUUUCUUGAUAUUGUGCUCAACCAUAUCAGUGGUGAUUCACCUGAAUUUUCCCAUGCUGUUAGUUGCUUGAGAGAACUUUUCAAAAUGCUUGGUUGUAAGCUUUGGCUGAGGGCUACAUUAUCUCCCAGUGUGAUGCGCAACACGUUGUUGGGUCAGUGUUUUCACACUAGAAAUGAGAAGAUGCAUAAAGAUAUUUUUGAUCUUUUCCAGCCAUUUCUGCAGUCACUUGAAGCUUUGCAAGACGGGGAACAUGAAAAGCAACGUAGGCAUUUCCUUUAUUUUCUUCUCCACCAAGUUCCUGUGAGCAGUAACUUCAGUGUUUUAACGAGAAAAACAGCCUGCAAGAUUGCUCUUCUUAUCAUUCAUCGAGGCUACAAGAUGAAUCCACCAUGCCCUCCUUUUGAAUGUGCACAUAUGUGGGGUCCUUCUCUUGUGUCUUCUUUGAAGGAUUCUUCACUCUACAGUUCCCUGCGCCAGCCUGCCUUUGAUCUCAUACAAACAAUUUUAGUGUCUGAUGCUGCUACCUUGAUAACUUCAAUGCUGAAUUGUUGCAUAGCUACAAGUAUUGCUAAAAGCUCUUCUAUUGAGUUAGAUGACGAGGAAGGACAUAAUAAGCUUCCAUUUACUCAGGAUGUUGAAGAUAGCGAUACUGGUUGUUGGAGUGAAUUUAGCACUCAGAGUCAAAUUACUUCUCCGGAGUAUAGAGAAUGGAUGUGUAUUCCUAUGUUGUGGAUUGACGUUCUUGUCGAUAUUGAUCCUUCAGUUCUCCCAAUAUCAUUUUCAAAGGCUGUAUUAUGGGCUCGAUCUCGUUUCCCUAUGAUAGAACCUGAGAAUAGUGCUGAAAUGGCCCUUGAUAUUAGAGGUUGGCUUUCAUCCUCCGCUGCAGAAAUCUUAAGUACAUUUGGAUGGAAGAUACCAACUGGCUCUGAUGAUGGAGGGGGGAAGGAAUCUAAAAACUCAAUGAGGUUGUCAACAAUGUGUCUUCCUUUGAUAAAGACUUUCAUCAGGUUAACUGCACAUUUUUUGAUUCGAAUGGGGCAAGGGGAACUUCGAAAGCAGUGGUCUUGGGAACCAAGGAUGGGUGAAAGCUUGAUCCUCUCACUUGUGGACCCAAAUGAUAAUGUGAGGCAGUUUGGCAAGUGUAUCUUGGAACAAGUUUCAAAUACACGGGGUCUUGGUUGUGGCUUGAAGUUUCUUUGCUCUGACAUUCUUUCUCUAUCUGCUGUUUAUUUGGGCCUGAGGCAUGCCUUGAGACUUGUCCAGUUAGAUUCUGUUUUAUUAAAAUUUCAGAAUUUGCACCACUUUUUCUUUGUUCUAUGCAAAUUACUUAAAGAUGAGGACUUGCCUAAUUCAGAAGUAGCAGAAGAUUCUUCCAAUGCCUCAAAUAUCAUGAAGUACUCUUCUCAGGGUGGAUUUCUUAAGCAGCCACUGUUUGAUGCUUUGCCUGCAAACAUGGGCAGAAAUUACUCCAGUGUUGACCCAAAAUUAAGGGAAAAUUUCUGUUACUCAUUGUCUGAGAUUGUGUGGCCAGCCUUAUGCAAGUGCUUGGUAGAAGGGAAGGCAUUCGUUAAUUACAGUCUUUGCCAGAUGACUUGUGUUCGUGUGCUUGAGAUCCUCCCUGUUCUAUUUGGAAGACUCAGUCCGUCACUUGUUAGUUUGUGUGGAGAUUCUAAAGUAGCAUUAGGGAAUUUAGUGGAUUUCAAAUGGCUUCAUGAUCUUAUGGACUGGGGAAAGUCUCAACUUAAGGUCAUUGUUGUCUAUUGGAAAAAGGCUGUAAUAUCUUUGCUGAAUGUAAUCAAGCUAUUAAGGAGUGAUAGUUCUCUGUUGAUGGUUGGGGCAGUUGAAAAUCUUAUUUCAAGCGAUGCUGUUGACAUGGAUGAAUUGAUAGAACAAGUAUCACGACUUUGUGUUACAUUAUCUAAAGAAGUUUCUUGUGCUAUUGGGCAUUCAACCUUAAGGUCAAAAAAAUUGUUUUCUGGAGCAUCUGUUGAGGGAAGGUACCCUGCAGCUGAUGUGCAGCUUCCUUCUACUGGGAUGGAUGUAAAAAUUUUCGAUUCCUUAAAAUCAGAAAAAAAAAUGAAUGAAAGUAAUCUGAUUGUUAUUUCCGAUGAUGAGAAGGAGAAACAUAUUGCAUCUAGUAAGUCAGGUCAUCAAAUGUUGCAUGCCCAGGUGGAAUUUCCUUCUACUGAUGAGCAAGCUUCAGAAACUUACCAUGCCAAGAAGGUUGUCCAUAGCACUGGUACUGAUACUUCAGCGGAUCUACUUGAGUCUCCCAUGAAAAAAGAUUCCCUUGUUUCUCAGACACAGAAACCUGAGAAAUCAAGAGUCAAGCCACCGCAUUGUCCCAAACCAAAAGGCCCUGACAGUGAGAGGAAAGAAAUAAGCUCCAACUCCAGAAGUAGUGUUAUUUCAUCUCAGAGUAAAGUUGAUCAGGAGAACAAGUUUGAUGAAUCUGUUAAAUUAAACAGUAUUAAUCAAGGUUGCAAAAAAAUAAAUUUUGGAACCAAAGAUACAAUUUUGAGGGAGGUAGUUGCUGCAGAUGAUCCGUUGGAGGCUGCUUUCAGAACUGUAACUGUACAGCCAUCACUUCUUGCUAAGUCUGGUCCUGUUGCUCCUAAAAGGCAAGUCAUUCAACUUAGAUCACCUUUUGAAAAUAGAUCUAGCCUACACAGGCCGGAAGCUCAGGUUAAAAGGUUCAAGCCUCCAAGACUGGAUGACUGGUACAGGCCAAUACUAGAAGUAGAUUUCUUUGUAACGGUGAGAUUAGCAUCUGCAAAAGAUGAUGAGAGUCACACCGUUAGCAAAUUAAAGGAGGUCCCUGUGUCAUUCCACUCACCUGAACAGUAUGUAAACAUUUUUCGGCCGUUAGUUUUGGAGGAAUUUAAAGCACAACUGUAUAGUUCCUUUCUGGAGAUGUCUUCAUGGGAGGAGAUGUACUGUGGCAGUAUAUCCGUGCUGUCAGUUGAGAGGGUUGAUGAUUUCCAUCUUGUUCGAUUUGUCUAUGAUAUUGAUGAUUCUACAGCAUCUAAAAGUUUGUCAGAGAAUGACCUUGUUUUACUCACUAAAGAUCUUCCAAAAAGUACCUCCCAUGAUGUUCAUAUGGUUGGAAAGGUGGAAAGACGUGAGAGAGACAAUAAAAGGAAGUCAAGUAUGCUGCUGAUUCGGUUUUAUCUUCAGAAUGGCUCAAUACGUUUGAAUCAAGCUAGGAGGCAGCUUCUUGAACGUAGUAAAUGGCAUGCCAGUCGUAUCAUGAGCAUUACACCCCAGAUCCGAGAAUUUCAGGCACUGUCAUCUAUAAAGGAUAUCCCCUUGCUUCCUGCCAUUUUAAACCCUGUCAGUGAUCCUACCAUCUCGUAUAAACCGACACUAGAUUUCAGUAAGCUAUCCCAGCCCCUGCAGCAAUUUCUGAGGUCAUCCUUCAAUGAUAGCCAACUGCAAGCCUUGAAUGUUGCUGUUGGAUCACAGAAGAUAAAGAAAGAUUUUGAAUUGUCUCUUAUUCAGGGUCCUCCAGGGACUGGAAAGACCCGAACUAUUGUGGCCAUGGUUGGUGUUUUGCUAGCUUCCUUUCAACGGAGAACAAAUGAAUCAGAGAAUUCUCAGAGUGGUUAUUUGAGACAAUGCUAUAAUUCUUCCACCAAUUCAAAUGCACGAGUAAGUCAGGCCACUGCCAUUGCAAGAGCUUGGCAGGAUGCUGCCCUGGCUAGACAAUUAAAUGAAGAUGUUGAAAGGUCAAAAAAGUCAAUAGAAAGUUCUACAAGAGGAAGGGUGUUAAUUUGUGCUCAGUCAAAUGCUGCAGUUGAUGAGCUGGUGUCAAGAAUAUCUAGUGAAGGUCUAUAUGGGAGAGAUGGGAAGAGGUACAAACCGUAUCUUGUACGGGUUGGGAAUGCAAAAACAGUUCAUCCAAAUUCACUACCUUUCUAUAUUGAUACACUUGUUGAUCAUCGGUUGGCAGAAGAGAAAAUGCAUACAAAUGAUGCUAGAAAUGAUUUAAGUAUGGAGGCAUCUUCUACAGUACUGCGUUCUAAUCUAGAGAAGGUAGUCGAAAACAUCAGAUUCUGCGAAACCAAGCGUGCAAACAUAAGGGAUGGCAAUUCAAGCAUAAAGAAAACAUCAAAAGGAUCUAAUAAGGAAAUGGAUGUAAAAGAAAUGGCUAGUCCGGAAUUAGAGGCUAAGCUACAACGAUUGUAUGAGCAAAAGAAACAAAUUUAUAAAGAUCUUAGUGCUGCUCAGGCACAAGAGAAGAAGACUAAUGAGGAAACCAAAGCAUUAAGACAUAAACUGCGGAAGUCUAUUUUAAAGGAAGCUGAAAUAAUCGUUACAACAUUAAGUGGUUGUGGUGGAGAUCUCUAUGGUGUAUGUGCUGAAACCAUAUCAAGUUUUAAGUUUGGCAAUCCAUCUGAACAUACUCUUUUUGAUGCUGUUGUGAUUGAUGAAGCUGCACAAGCUUUGGAGCCAGCUACUUUGAUUCCUCUUCAGCUUUUGAAGUCAAGAGGGACAAAAUGUAUCAUGGUUGGUGAUCCAAAGCAGCUUCCUGCAACAGUUCUCUCUAAUGUUGCGAGCAAAUAUAUGUAUGAAUGCAGCAUGUUUGAGCGUUUACAAAGAGCUGGUCAUCCUGUUGUUAUGCUUACUGAACAGUAUAGGAUGCAUCCAGAGAUAUGUCGAUUUCCUUCUUUGCACUUUUAUGACAAGAAGUUGCUGAAUGGUGAUACAGUCUUGAGCAAAUCAGUGUCAUUUCAUGGAGCUGAAGGCCUUGGCCCAUAUGUGUUUUAUGAUGUUGUUGAUGGUCUGGAGCUUCGUGAAAAGAAUUCUGGUGCAUUAUCUCUUUAUAAUGAAUGCGAGGCUGAUGCAGCAGUCGAGCUGCUUAAAUUUUUCAGGAAAAGGUAUCCGUCGGAGUUUGUUGUUUGCAAGAUUGGUAUAAUAACUCCAUACAAGUGUCAGCUUUCACUUUUGCGAUCUCGCUUUUCUAGUGUGUUUGGUUCUUCUGUUAUUACUGAUAUAGAGUUCAACACAGUGGAUGGUUUUCAAGGCCGGGAGGUGGAUAUAUUAGUGUUUUCCACUGUUAGAGCAGCAAGUUCUUCUCAAGGCAUAAGUUCAAGCAGUAGUAUUGGGUUUGUCGCUGAUGAGAGACGGAUGAAUGUUGCUUUGACAAGAGCUAAGCUUUCUCUUUGGAUUUUGGGAAACACGAGGACUUUGCAGACAGACCGUAAUUGGUCUGCUCUUGUGAAGGAUGCUAAGCAGAGAAAUUUGGUACUAUCAAUUAAAAGGCCUUACAAUAUCUCUUUUAGAACAAACACUAGGAAGACUCUUGUUCCAGAAGGUUCUGAUAAUCAACUGAGUCAGGUGAAGCAUGUUGAAAAGGUCAGAGGUGAUGGCCAACUUGCCAAACAGAAUGAGUGUCAGGAAAAGCUGAAGUUUGAAGGGAAGAGAAAGCAUAUCGACAGUGUGACUGACUGUAACUGGUCUUCUGGUGGAGGUGACAUCGACUCUUUGAAGAGUAAAGAUAAACAUUGUAGCAAAAGAAAAGCAAAAUAUGAUUGUGAGCCUCCCCCUGGAAGGACUAUUUUGUCUGCAUCUGCAAAUGAUGAUAGAAGACGAUUGCAGAAAGUGAAGUCCAGGGGUCCAGAGAAACUUCUUAUCUCUAGUGGAAGCCAAGAAAAAGAGGGUAGUGAAGUAGAAGUCAAAAUGGGGGAAAACCAGAGAAGCAACAAUGACAAUGGUGGACAAGAAGUGGGUCGUAGUGGCAAAAAUAAGAUGUCAAAAGAGAGUAAGAAAUCUUCUGUGCAGGAGCAAAGUUCAAUUGUUUCUACUCCCCAACCUGAUGGCAACAAUGAAGAGAGAGAAUCAAAUAAAGGUGGUAGAGAUCCUAAGGAGGUUGCCACUUCUCAGAAUUUAUUUCUGAAACGGAAACAGCAACGGGAAGCUGUUGAUGCUAUUCUUUUCUCUGGUCUAAUUCCUUCAAAAAAGUCCGAACAAUCAUCCAAAAAGUUGCACCAAGAAAGGUCAAUUGUCCCACCUUCAGUUGCAAGCGGCAGCUUCAAACCACCAAAGAAAAGGAAAGGUUAACCACUGCUUCACUGCCCAAUGCAACUCCUGAUUUAUGUUUUAGCUGGUUGUGGUUACACUAGUCCACCAAAUUCCUAAAACAAGGGCACCACGCCAUCAGAUUCAUCAAGGGCUCAGUUCAGGAGAUAUUCUUUGAGCUUAUAGCCUUAUAGGGCCUACACAUAUGGAGGAAAGCAUACUACUUUUAUGAAGCAACAACUUCAAUUGACUGCUGCCGUCUUUCUUAUAUAAACAGGUAGAAAAGGAAGAAAGUGGCUACAUUCUAUGCUUUUCCUAUAAUAAUUAUUUGAUCUAAAACUGGGUUCUAGCUUCCGUGAAUUUAAAUGGAGCUUGUGUUUAUCAGCAUCUUUCUAAGUUGUAAAGAAGCAAGAAAGUUGCUGAGUUUGCAGCCAUUGUGGGAAUACGGGGUGAAAUUAACAGGCAUUCCUCUCGUCUUUUGGGAAGAAUACUUGAUAAGUGUCUUGGUUUCUGUAGUUGAUGGAUAGCUCACAAAUCAUAGUUGAAACUCUCCAAAACAGAUCUUAAAAAAGAAAAAAAAAAGGUUUUCGUGUUCCCAGUAGCUUUUAUAGCUUAAAGAUUAAAUUUUGGCGACCCACCUUUUGCUUGAUAUUUUUCAUCUUGUUUCUGGUUGAAGGUGUUAAUAUGAAUGAGGCUUCUUUGUAAAGAAAUUUUUUGUAAUAUGUAAUGUUAGAAUUCUUUAAAAGGGCUUUCGACAAAUUGAUCAUGUACAAAUAGUAAACUUGGUUUCUAACAUGGCAUGUAUAAACAAAAGAAAAAUGGCCUUGAAAAUUUGCACGUAAUAAUAUAUCUGUAUUGUUGUAGUCUA